rnacentral:sRNA from 1 species
GUCUUCCGCCUGCUGCGGACAGAUGAAAUGAAUGUGGGAAUCGAUCCCGCCCGCGGUGACGAUUCGUCCUUCGCCGGCGAUCGCUUCGGUGCCGGGGCCGAUCACGAUAUCGACGCCCGGCUGGAUGUCGGGAUUGCCGGCCUUGCCGAUGGCGGCGAUGCGCCCGUCCUUGAGGCCGAUGUCGGCCUUGACGAUACCCCAGUGAUCCACGAUCAGGGCGUUGGUGAUGACGGUAUCGACCGCGCCCUCGGCGCGGCCUUUCUGCGACUGGCCCAUGCCGUCGCGGAU